GUGGCAGUGAUCAUAACGGUGGUUGCCAGUGGUGGUGUUAACAUUUAUGUUUGGAAGGAAAUACAUUUAUACAUAAACCAUCAAUGAAGUUUUAAUAAAAGGGGAUUGAUACAAAAUAAUUCAAGAUGAGUAAUUCGUCAUUCAGUGAGAAGGAUUUGAUGAUGGACAUGGCGAUAGCUGUUACCUGCUUCUCUAUGGCCGUGAUCAUAGUUGGGCUCAACGGCUUGGUCAUAUUUACCCUCAGCCGACAGAAGGGAAAUAAUCGCCUACACUUUUUCAUACGUCAUCUUGCCAUUGCAGACUUACUUGUUGGGUUAAUUGCUGUUACUGGCGAUGCAGUAAAUAUUGGCAUUCUGCACGCGGAAUGGCUGGCCGGCGACGUCAUGUGCCGGUUGCAUCGGUAUGCUUGCUACGUCAUUCUUAUCGUCUCCAACAAUCUGCUCAUUGGGAUGAGUUUUGAUCGCUUCCUUGCUGUGAAGUAUCCGUUAAGAAAGAUCACGGGAGGUUAUAUGCCAUACAGAACAAUUAUCAUAGGUUGCUGGGUUAUCGGAUUAGCCUUACCUUCAUGGUUAAUACCAUUCUUUGGGACAGAAUAUAAUAUAAAGUACUCGAAAAUGUUUUGCGAAGUUAACUUAAAAACAGACGGUCAAUGGCAGGCGUAUGUUUGGAGCACACUUACUGGGGUUUUCUUUCUCCCUCUUGUUGCUAUUUCCUUCUGCUACAUUGGCAUCUCCAUUGUCAUCUGGCAGCACUGGAAGGAUGGACAGAGGCUAACAGAAGUAAAGGACAAGUCUCAAACACAAGGGAUGUUACAGAGUGCACGACCGAAAAUGUCAGGGUUGCUUCCAAAAGCCAAAGUAAAGUCGAUAAAAAUGACCCUAAUCGUUUGCUUUGUAUUCUUUGUUUGUUGGCUACCAGCGACAGUGAUCUAUCUACUUGACGUCCAUCGAAUAAACUCACUAGACGCCACGGUUAAACGAAUGUUACAGAGGCUGUAUCCACUCAACAGUCUUGGUAACCCUCUCAUCUUCAUCAUGUUCAAUACGAAACUAUUCACGUGGCGUAAAAACAACUCUCACGCGCGAGAUUACGACCGCAUGGCCACAGAGAUGACGACAACCUGACAGUUAGCGGAGAUAUUGCGUUGCAUAUUGACGUCAUAUAGGCGUCUGAGAUACGCAGUUGUGUAAUUUAUUGAAAACACAACACAAUCAUUGGAGCAUUCAUUUGCCGGGCUAAAGUUAAGAAGCAUCACACACAAAAUGUUUCAGACAUAUUGAUCUUUGAUUGGAGAUCAAGAAAGACGCUGGGUCACGAUCGCAGCUUUUUGAUGUGCCUUACUAUUUUGACGUAAAGACGACGAAAAUUGGAUGUAUAUAUGGACGUUAUAGGGGGAAACCUAUAUGGCAGAGAAGUUUGUAGUGACUUUACAGUAAGCCACCUUAGGAGUGAGUAUAAAAAGAAAAAGUUAAAAUGUGGUUUCUUAAAAAGGCCGGGUGCGGGAGGCGGGCAAUAUGUUUUUAAACAAAAAACUAUAGAACCUUUAACAACUACAAAUGCGAAGAAGAAUGCGGAGGUGAUGAAGCCGACGUCUUCCGUUCUUGCCUCAUCUAGAAACGUUCCAAAAGAGAUAAAUGGCAAUGCUCUAUUAUGACUUUAUUAUAGGUUUUUAUGUUAUAAGUGUGUGGGUAAAGUGGUCUUUGACUAGAUAAUUAUGCACGGAAGAAAGAAAUCUUAUUUCUUUUAGUCUGUUGAAUUCUUAAAAAUAUUGUCCAUCCCAUUGCAUUUCUUUUCGUUUAAUGCUAUAGUUUAAUUAGUUUAAACAUAUUUAUUUUAUAACGAUUGUGAAACAAGUUAUUACAACAUUAUAUUAAUCACUCUCGUUGGCACGAUUUUACGCGAGAGUGUGGUCAUGUAUUGUGGGGGAAACCGGAGAACCCGGAGGAAACCCACUUGUCCGGCUUGGUGACCACAAACCAAACUCACAUGCGCCCAGGCCGGGAAUCAAACCCGGGUCGCCUAGGUGAGAAGCGAGUGCGCUAACCACUGCGCUAACCGGACAACCUUUAAUGCUAUAGAGCAUUAAAAAUUCAGAUUUAAACCUUUGCUAUAGCAAACUGAAUACUUAAUAUUGUCGUAUUUUAUGAAUUUUGAACACCACUGCCAAAAAGAAAUUAG